rnacentral:rRNA from 1 species
UGGGGAAUAUUGCACAAUGGGCGCAAGCCUGAUGCAGCCAUGCCGCGUGUAUGAAGAAGGCCUUCGGGUUGUAAAGUACUUUCAGCGGGGAGGAAGGGAGUAAGGUUAAUAACCUUAUUCAUUGACGUUACCCGCAGAAGAAGCACCGGCUAACUCCGUGCCAGCAGCCGCGGUAAUACGGAGGGUGCAAGCGUUAAUCGGAAUUACUGGGCGUAAAGCGCACGCAGGCGGUCUGUCAAGUCGGAUGUAAAAAUCCCCGGGCUCAACCUGGGAACUGCAUUCGAAACUGGCAGGCUGGAGUCUUGUAGAGGGGGUAGAAUUCCAGGUGUAGCGGUGAAAUGCGUUAGAGAUCUGGAGGAAUACCGGUGGCGAAGGCGG